AUGCUCACUUCCAUAGCACAUGUGCUAAAAUUGGAACAAUACAGAGAAGAUUAGCAUAGCCCCUGCGCAAGGAUGACACACAAAUUUUUGAAGCUUUCCAUAUUUUU